UGAGUAAAUAAUGGAAAAUGGUGGAUGAUUUUAGCAAUAAUGAAGCCUUAUAUACCUUUGGAUGUUGCUGUAUUGGAUAUUUUGGAAAUUCACAAUACUCCAAGGAACAUGUUGAAGUCAUUCUCACAGGACUUGACUCAAUGGGGAUACAUCCUAUCCCAUUCUGGAGAGAGACUUGAAGAUGCAACAGGUGAUCCCCAGCAAUGUAUCUAGUGGGUAAGGAUACCUGCCGGCUUUCACGUGUUGACCCUGCCACUUACUAAGUGUGACCCUCAUCUGUGAAACGUGGGCAACAGUAGUAUGUGCUUCCCAGGG
rnacentral:lncRNA from 1 species